rnacentral:lncRNA from 1 species
UUAGGUCAAGGCGGUUGGUGGUUAGAAAACGACUUUUCUUUAUGUGUAGAUCUAGGGUUUCUAUUCAAUUGGUUUAAGCUAGUUUUUACUAGAUUGAAUCCGGUUUUUCACUCGAAUUUUAGUUUGUAAACGAAGGAAAUUAAUUGGUUUAACGGGGAUAACUAUUAUAUUAACAGAAAAUGUGAAAGUCAAUCCAGAG